rnacentral:lncRNA from 1 species
AUGAUUCGACUACAAGUGAUAGUUUUAAGUUUGGCGAUUAUUUGUUCCUUCGCGUUCGUCGCUGGCAAGGAUACGCGCGAAAGUUCCCCGCAGGGAAAUGGAGACAAUCAGGAAACUGGACCGGGGAGUCCGGUGUUACAGUUGCUGUCGCAGAUGAUGAGCCCGAACGCCAAAAGCGCCAGCCUGAAGGAGCUUCAAAAGAAGGUCGAGUCGGACAGGACGCAUAUCCAAAAGAUUCCUCCCAGGAAUAGGGAGAAGCAGGAGCUCGAGGAGAAGAAGAAGGAACUUGAAGAGAAAGAGCGGGAGUUGGAGGGAAAUUUCGUCGUGUCACCGGACUUUGAUAAAUAUGCUUACAAGAGCCCAAAACGGUCGUCUGUGACAUACAGCAUUGACGCAACAUGCCAACUGGCGACAUGCUACGAGGACGGAAGACCCUUCCUUAAAAUUCACGACUACUGCUACAAAGGUAUCAGCGAUCUGCAAGCUGCCUGCGAGGAGCGCUACCUAUCGGCUAGAAAUCGCAGAGCUGGCAAGGAGAUGUCGGCACCAAGUUCAAACCCAACAAUCCCAACAAAUGGAGAAACCUGCUCUAACAUUGGAGCCACAUGGAAAGAUAACUGCAACACAUGCGUCUGUUUGGCGGUGCGUAUACCCGCCUGCACGCGCAUGAGCUGCCCGACGCCAGAAACGCAUCUGAAUGUCCCACCCUCCAAGGCUUCCAACCAAAUGGACAAAAAUCAAACACGAUGUACAAUAAUCAGAAGCCGGAAGGCUUGCUUCCCAUCCAAAACAGCUUUAAAGAUGAGCAACUUGCCAAGCACUUAAAAAAUGUUUAGAGAUACCGUUUAAAGCACGUUAUCACGGAGGAAGCUUCUACCAGGCCUCUACCUUAGACUUUAAUGUAGAGGUCUUCAGGGUCUCUUUAUUUACCUUAUAGCCAUUGUGUUCGCUUCGAGGUUGAGCGAAAAUGUUGAACAUCAUCAAACUCUCCAUGGGCAAACGACAAAGAAAAGAGAAGAAGAGUAUGAUAUUUAAUUGCUUGAUUUGGUUUCACAAUGGUCGCGAUUUUUAUGGAUAAUAACAUGCCUAUAUUAACCUAGACAGUACCUAACCUAGAAACCUGUUUUUUCUCGUUAACCUAGAAAUUGGCAUUAAUGAGUAAAAGAGACGCCGCUUUUAGGUGAUACACAUGAUGGAUUUAGAUUGGACGUCAAUGAUUACAGAUUAGACACGCUUACUUUUGUAAAAUUUUCUUCUGAUGAUGUGGAUUAGAUUGUAAGUACAGCGUAAGUGCUACGCACCUUGCAGACGAAAGACUCAUUUAAUCAUUGUAGAUACUUCUCACUGUUAAUUUAUUUAUAUACCUAUAAGAUAAACAAAUGUAUUUCUAUUUUCAUGUUAACAGUCAUUUUUUAUUGCAUCAGAGAAUAUUAUUCUGAUUAUUUUUCCAAAUUUUCAAAAUUAAAAGCAGAAUGUUUUGUAUUCCAUUAUGCCUCCUGAAUAAUUUUUGUCAUAGCUGAGAAAAGUUUCUACAGCGGGAAUAAAAUGCUAUGACCUACAGACGCUAACAAGCAAGUUUUAGUAAUUAGGGUUACAUGUCAGUUUACCUACAAACCUUUGACCUACGUGACGUUUUACCUACAGCUUUUUACCUACGACAUUUAAACCUACAACAUUUUUUCUACAAAGCAAUUUGCCUUAAAAGCAAUUUACCUGCAUUUUUUUUGUCUACGAAACAUUUCUCCUACAAUUUAUCAAUUUCACCUACGAGUGAAAUUGCUCUCCAGCAUAGCUGCCAGAUUGUAUGAAAAAAUUUGUUUUCUUUAAAUUGAGUUAAAUGGGAAGGCUAAAUGGGAAUGGCUAUUUGGUCGCUAUGGUGUACAGCUGUAAGAGAAGCCCCAAGUUUGUUUCUGUGGCAACAAAAGCAUAUAUUUUGGGGCACUUUUUCCAGUUUUUUUCUAACCUUAUUUUUUCUUAACUUUUUUUUUCUAAAAAUUUUAGUUUAAACUUAAUUAAAAUGGCAAAGUUAAUAACAACCACGCGAGGGGGGAGGUGUUUAGCCGUAGACGGGUUUGUGUAUCACAAGCAAAUCUCACGUCAGUUCAGAACAUAUUGGCAUUGCGCUCAACGGAAAGAAUUUUGCCGAGGCCGUGCAGUCAGUACAAACAACCCGCUGACAGUCGUCAAGCAGACUACUCACAAUCACGCACCAAACCAGGACGCGGUGGCUGCCCGAGAAGUGGUUAACAAUCUUAGAGGUUUAGCGGCAGAGCGCCCAGAUGCAGCUCCUACACUAAUUUUGAGGGAUGAGCUCAGUCAAGUGACAUCAGUCGUCACAGCUCAACUUCCACUACGAAGUUCUCUGAGAAGAACAAUGAACCGGAGACGGCAAGCCGAGCUCCCGCCAAAUCCUGCCAAUCCACAAGAGUUAAACAUUCCUCCUGAGUAUCGCACCACACUGAAAAAUGAGCCCUUCCUCUUGUACGAAAAUUUAGAUGACGAUGAUGCCUCUACUAUCCUAAUUUUCGCUUCAGACAGGAAUUUGAGGGUUCUUGGAGCUUCACAGACCUGGUUCAUGGACGGAACUUUUAAAGUCACACCAAUUAUCUUUCAUCAACUUUUUAC